rnacentral:lncRNA from 8 species
AUGUGAAGAGCUGGAGCUGGGACUAGGAGCCGCAGUAGAAAACGCCCGUAGGUAGAAGAGCACCGAACUAGGAUUAUCUGGGUGGAAAACGCCCGUAGGUAGAAGAGCACCGAACAAGGAUUAUCUGGGUGGAAAACGCCCGUAGGUAGAAGAAUACCGAACAAGGAUUAUCUGGGUGGAAAACGCCCGUAGGUAGAAGAAUACCGAACAAGGAUUAUCUGGGUGGAAAACGCCCGUAGGUAGAAGAGCGCCGAACAAGGAUUAUCUGGGUGGAAAACGCCCGUAGGUAGAAGAAUACCGAACAAGGAUUAUCUGGUGGAAAACGCCCGUAGGUAGAAGAAUACCGAACAAGGAUUAUCUGGUGGAAAACGCCCGUAGGUAGAAGAAUACCGAACAAGGAUUAUCUGGGUGGAAAACGCCCGUAGGUAGAAGAGCGCCGAACAAGGAUUAUCUGGGUGGAAAACGCCCGUAGGUAGAAGAGCGCCGAACAAGGAUUAUCUGGGUGGAAAACGCUGACCUGCGAGUUGGGGAUCUUUGUGUGUGAGGAUGUCAGUGUUUUCGCCUCGCUGACCGCGAUGUGCUUCUCUAGGUAGCCCCGGGGCAGCGUUCCUACUCUCUGAAAUCGCCGCCUCCUCUUCCCCUGUCCCUCCCCCUCCCCCUAUCCUUCCUCCUCUCCCCCUAUCCCUCCCCCCAUCUCAUUUAGUCCCACCAACCACCAGCUGCUCCAUGGAUCCCCUGUGUCCGAGUAAUGGUGUGAGCCGGACACAGGCCCGCACCUCCGGCCAACUGUAGCCCCCCACCCCAGCCCUCCUUGGUCCCAUUACUUUUAUAUUUUUUGUACUGGCAUAUUUUUUCUCACUAUCCCUGGAGUUUAUUCUUGUUUGGAACCAGGGAUGGAUGUACCAUCGGAGGCCAGCAAGCAUGGCAAGAAGACGACCAGUCAAAAGCUGGAAGACCAGAAGAAGCGUUGCCUUUCCCAGAUGUGCAACAGUGUCGAUGAGAUGAACCCUCUCGACCUCAAGUCCCAGGUAGCUCGCGGCAGCACGCUUGCUCACAGAUUAUGCCGAGUCGCCUCUUCGGCGGCGCUAUCAGCACUAAGGAGCCGCACGGCACCCCCAGCCUCGUCCUCCUCACGCCACUUGACCCCG